CCGAGCUGCUGUUGUGCUCCAUGUCUGAAAGAUGUUUUCUUUUUUCGUUCUUUGCUCUAGUUACGAGGAUCCUGACAAGUGCCUGCUUCUCUAUGGUGAUGAUCAGAACUUGGAAGAAGCUGCCUGAAGUUGAGAACGUGCCAAACAUUAACCUUAAUAAUGCUGUGAACUCUCCAAACGUAAGCUAUAUCCUCUGGCAAGCGCACGGGGACUCGGUUACUCAGCUGAACUACUAUGAUUCUAUCAAAGCUGUCAUUUCAAGCUCCAACCACGAGCCCACUGCUCUAGUCAUCGGUACUGCUUGCCCUUCUCUUAAGUUUCCCGUGUUCCCUUUUUGUGUGUCAGACCCUUGACUUUCUCCCACCUUUAGAAUUUCUACAUUGCAGCAGGC
rnacentral:lncRNA from 1 species